rfam:Firmicutes bacterium CAG:466 genomic scaffold, scf126
AACUUAUCAAGAGUGGUUGAGGGACAGGGCCCUGUGACACCCGGCAACCGGCGGAAACGCAUCGGUGCCAAUUCCCCCGCAUAUUUUGCGGAAGAUGAGUA